CCGCAUUCGUGUGUUGACUUAGUGUCCGGGUACUGAUUCCGUAAUAAUUACGCUAAAAGGUUGGUGGAAGGUUGACUAUUCUUCAUAACAUUGCAGUGAACAUUAAUUUUAUAGUCGCCUUACAUAAAAGCCAUCAAGACAAUGAGCCGAUAAAAAUGAUAAACCUGUCAAGGAUCUUGUAAUUCUACUGUACGAAACUGCACUGUUAUUGUCUGGAUUCUCACUGGAUGAGUCAGGUGUGCACGCAUCUCGCAUCUAUCUUAUGGUCAAGCUGGGUCUUAUGGCGGGUUUACAUUAGGGAGAUCUAUAGCUAUAGAUGGAUUUAUUCACGCGAAAAUAGGUGUAAACGGCAUAUGUAAACGCUUGUGAAUUUCUCACUGGUGAUAAAUCACUAAAGUUGGAUGCAGUUCUACUUCAGGUGAAUAAAUUCACCGAAAAUAUGAAUAUAUUCAUUAUAGAAGUUCACGCUAGUGUAAACGGCUGAUGCGAUUUCUAUAAAUCUCAUCAUAUUUCUUCACAUGAAUAUAUCACUAGUCUAAACCCACCCUUAGAAUCGAUAAGGACGAAGCUAUGAGCACAGAUGAUACUCCAGCCGCAACUACUGGUGAAGAUGCUCCACCACUAGAGGAUGACACCGAGGAUGCUUCACACAUGGAAGAAGUUGAUUAAACAUAUACGAUUUUUAACUACUUAAGUAGCUUUUUGUAAUUUUUGAAAGUCUGAUUUUGUGUUUUUGGAGUACGGAAACGGUAUGCUGAAUUGAGUUUCUCGUAUCAGUUAGGGUCAACUAUUGUAAAUUUACAUUUUAAUUUUGUACCGCGUUAUAGCGGCUGCAGAAGAUGUAUAUUCUUGUCAUUCGUAAUAGCAUACCAAGUACUUGA